ACCUACUGUUUAAUUUUGAGGGUUCGUUUUUACGAAUGCUCAAAAUUAGCACUUUAAGCAACGGGAUUUAUCCGUUGGCGCUGUGCGUUAGCACUUUGAAAACUGCAUAUAUAUAUUUAGUGAUAUGACAUCUAAUUUGUAAUAUAAAGCUGAUAACUUUUUAAAAUUAUCGAAGUUGAUAGCUUCUAAUCUAUCAAACCUUUUUAACUGGUCAA
rnacentral:misc_RNA from 1 species